rnacentral:rRNA from 1 species
AAUAGCGGCGAUAUCAUGUUGAAUGCACUCAGUUCCUAAUGGAGCACUGAAGUUAAUCAACGUUGAGCGUGAUUAGUAUCCGGGUGGGUGAUUAUUUGGGCAAUGCGUGCUGCUGGCU